rnacentral:misc_RNA from 1 species
CAAUUGCAGUUAUAACCACACCAAUCAAGGAUGUUAUGGCACACAGGGACAUUGGAGCAGGAAAAUCACCCAAAGUAGAAGCCUGCAAUACAACAUUGCUUGAUAGAACAAAAACAGCAGCCAUGAGAUAUAAGCAACCAAUCAUCUUUUGCUUAUCUAAAAUCACAUCCACAGGGGGAACUUGCAGCAAAUCGGCAUCUUUUGUUGAUUUAGAGCUGUGCAUUAGACUCAUUAAGAGGGCUCCUGCGACACACAGCAAUGUACCUACAAUCUUCACUUUGCUGUAUAGGCAGCUUAGCUUAACUUUCUCUAGCCUUGCUGUCCAAGCAAUCAGGAAAAUAAGUCCUGGAGCAAGGUUUGGCAUGGCUGUUGCCAGUGCUGGUGAGGUUAGCUUAAUCCCCUUCAGGAAUAACGUUUGGAAUAAAGUUACCCCUGCAAAAGAGAUCAANNNNNNNNNNNAAGCUGGAUCAUCAACCUGAAACUGAGUUCCUUGGGCCAUUUCUUCCUUUCAAAAUAAACAGCGAAAGGAGAGGUGAUGAGGAAGGUAGCAAAAGUAGAGAAGAUGACAAUGGUAGAAGGGGUAAAGCCAAGAGACAUUAGAUAACUCAAGAAAACAGCGUUCCCAGCAUACAUAAAUUGCACCCCUAUCAAGCCUCCUACAAUCGUUAAAUCUUCAAUCAUCUCCUUCUUCAUGUAGCCAACCAUUUUCCCCUCCAAGCAAAAAAAUAAAAACCCAAAUGGAUAUCAGACCAAUUUAAGCGUUUUUCCUUAAAAACCUAAUUGUUUUUCUCCUUUUGAAGGUCAGAAAAACCACCUUUUCCUACCUCUGCUCAUCUGAAAUCAUCUUUCUUGUCAGAAAAGGAAAACAAAGCUAGCAUUAGUGACCCCAACACUAAAAAACACAAGUGAAAAAGAGAGAAGAAACGUCCGGCAACUACUGUUUUUCAGUGCAUUCUUUUC